rnacentral:rRNA from 1 species
UACGUAGGGGGCAAGCGUUGUCCGGAAUCAUUGGGCGUAAAGCGCGUGUAGGCGGUUCGAUAAGUCUGCUGUGAAAGUCCAGGGCUCAACCCUGGGAUGCCGGUGGAUACUGUCGGGCUAGAGUACGGAAGAGGCGAGUGGAAUUCCCGGUGUAGCGGUGAAAUGCGCAGAUAUCGGGAGGAACACCAGCGGCGAAGGCGGCACUCUGGGCUGGAACUGACGCUGAGGAGCGAAAGCGUGGGGAGCAAACAGG